rnacentral:lncRNA from 10 species
GGUGUGAGAGCAGAUGCAAUGCGGUUUAUGGCUAACGAGCCAUCAAGAGAUACUGAUGUGUAUGGGUGUGCUGUAUAUGUGUCUGUAUGUGAUAGUAUGUGAUGUGUUUGUGUGGUAUGUAGUGUGUAUUGUGUGUGUAGCAUUGCAUGUGCAAUGUGCGUGCCAUGUGUGGUGUGCAAAGUGUGUGCCAUAUGUGUGGUGUGUGUGAUGUGUGUGUGGUGUGUGGCAUGUGUGUCCUGUGUGCUGUUUGCAUGUGUGAUGUGUAGUAUGUAGUGUUGCGUGGUGAGGGAGUAUAUAUGAUGUGUGUGUGGUGUGCGAUGUGUGUGGUGUGUGUCUGGGUGUGUGAUGUGUGGUGUAGUGUGGUGUGGUGAGGGAGUAUACAUGAUGUGUGUGUGGUGUGCAAUGUGUGUGUGUGUCUGGGUGUGUGAUGUGUGGUGUUUAGUGUUGUGUGGUGAGGGAGUAUAUGUGUGUGUGGUGUGCGAUGUGUGUGUCUGAGUGUGUGAUGUGUGAUGUGUGGUGUUUAGUGUGGUAUGGUGAGGGAGUGUAUAUGAUGUGUGUGUCUGGGUGUGUGAUGUGUGAUGUGUGGUGUUUAGUGUGGUGUGGUGAGGGAGUGUAUAUGAUGUGUGUGUGGUGUGCGAUGUGUGUGUCUGAGUGUGUGAUGUGUGGUGUUUAGUGUGGUGUGGUCAGGGAGUAUAUAUGAUGUGUGUGUCUGAGAGUGUGAUGUGUGGUGUGUAGUGUUGUGUGGUGAGGGAGUGUAUAUGAUGUGUGUGUGAUGUGUGCUUGUGUGUGUGGAGGUUGAAUGUGUCCGUGUGUGCGUGUGUGUGAGAUGGGGGAGAAUGGGGUCUCUGGGCCUGGGGUGGUCAGGGAAGCCCUCCUGUGUGCACCAGGACCUGGUGAGGCUUCUCCAGCAGGAGGAGAAAUGGAACCUGAUAUGAGCAGCUGUUGGGAAAAAAGCCCAAGACGACUUACAAUGCAUCUGUGGAGCACAAGUCAGGGCCUGGAAGAAUGGAGGACGCCAUUGCAAUGUACAAGCAUAUGGAAGUCAAGACCUAAGCCCAGCAUCUUCCUGUGUUCUCUCUGGCUGGAGGGACAAUUGAAGAUCAUUUAACCUGAAUGUCCACAUUGAGAUCUGCUCAUAUUAACAGCACUUCCAGAAUUGUAUAUAUUAACAACCCAAUUUUUUAUAGAUAUGGUAGCACAAAAUACUAAAUACGAAAAGUAGGUGUAUUAGUCUGUUCUCGUGCUGCUAUAAGGACAUAUCCGAGACUGAGUAAUUUAUAAAGGAAGGAGGCUUAAUUGACUCACAGUUAUGCAGGACUAGGGAGGCCUCAGGAAAUUUAGAAGGGGAAGCAAACACUUCCUUCUUCACAUGGCGCAGCAAGGAGAAGAAUGGGUGCUCAGAGAGGGGGGAAGUCCCUGAUAAAACCAUCAGAUCUCGUGAGAACUCACUCAUGAGAGUGAGAACAGGAUGGGGGAAACUGCCCCCAUGAUUCAGUUUCUCUACCUGGUCCUUCCCAUGACACGUGGGGAUUAUGGGAACUAUAAUUCCAGAUGAGAUUUGGGUGGGGACACAGCCAGACCAUAUCAGUAGGCAUAGGAAGAAAUAAGUGGACUUAAAAGAAUUAUGCCUUAGAAAAACAAAAUACCCCGUGAAUCAACUGGGUUUACAUGAGCAAAUAAAAGAGGAGCUACACAAAAUCCUAUGUAUUUAGUGACAAAAAGACAAUGAAAAAAAUUGUAUUUUCAGUCUUCUGUCCUAAAUCAGAAGUUUUAGUGCCUGUUCAUUUGAAAAUGACUUUUUAAAACCCAUGAAGUUAUUUUUAAUGGGAGUCUUAUUUAUUAAAGAUUCUUCUUGCUAUCUGCAGAUCCCAAACAAGAUUCUUUGGUGUCCUCAGCUUGCUCUUCUCCCUUUCCUUGGUAGACUUUUCUCUUGGUCUGUACUUGUAAUGCCUCCUGCCAAGUAGGAAAUGAAGAGUCAGUCCAUGUGCCGGGCUCAGGCCCUGCCGUUUUAGUGGCUUAAUGGAUGGCUUGGCACAACUAGGGAG